rnacentral:rRNA from 1 species
GUAGGUGGCAAGCGUUGUCCGGAAUUAUUGGGCGUAAAGCGCGCGCAGGCGGGUCCUUUAAGUCUGAUGUGAAAGCCCACGGGCUCAACCGUGGAGGGUCAUUGGAAACUGGGGGACUUGAGUACAGAAGAGGAAAGCGGAAUUCCAAGUGUAGCGGUGAAAUGCGUAGAGAUUUGGAGGAACACCAGUGGCGAAGGCGGCUUUCUGGUCUGUAACUGACGCUGAGGCGCGAAAGCGUUGGGAGCAAACAGGAUUAGAUACCCUGGUAGUCCACGCCGUAAACGAUGAGUGCUAAGUGUUAGGGGGUUUCCGCCCCUUAGUGCUGCAGCUAACGCAUUAAGCACUCCGCCUGGGGAGUACGGCCGCAAAGGCUG